rnacentral:rRNA from 1 species
CUACAGAGGGUGCGAGCGUUAAUCGGAAUUACUGGGCGUAAAGCGCGCGUAGGCGGCUUAUUAAGUCAGAUGUGAAAUCCCCGGGCUCAACCUGGGAACUGCAUCUGAUACUGGUAAGCUAGAGUUUUGGAGAGGGAAGUAGAAUUUCAGGUGUAGCGGUGAAAUGCAUAGAGAUCUGAAGGAAUACCAGUGGCGAAGGCGACUUCCUGGCCAAAAACUGACGCUGAGGUGCGAAAGCGUGGGUAGCAAACGGGAUUAGAAACCCUGGUAGUCC